rnacentral:rRNA from 1 species
AUUGAACGCUGGCGGAAUGCUUUUCACAUGCAAGUCGAACGGCAGCACGGGUGCUUGCACCUGGUGGCGAGUGGCGGACGGGUGAGUAAUGCAUCGGAACGUGCCGUAUAGUGGGGGAUAACGCAUCGAAAGGUGUGCUAAUACCGCAUACGCCCUGAGGGGGAAAGUGGGGGACCGUAAGGCCUCACGCUAUACGAGCGGCCGAUGUCCGAUUAGCUAGUUGGUGGGGUAAAGGCUCACCAAGGCGACGAUCGGUAGCUGGGCUGGGAGGACGACCCGCCACACUGGGACUGAGACACGGCCCAGACUCCUACGGGAGGCAGCAGUGGGGAAUUUUGGACAAUGGGGGCAACCCUGAUCCAGCCAUUCCGCGUGAGUGAAGAAGGCCUUCGGGUUGUCAAGCUCUUUUGUCAGGGAGGAAAUCCUUAGCGUUAAUACCGUUGGGGGAUGACAGUACCUGAAGAAUAAGGACCGGCUAACUACGUGCCAGCCGCCGCAGUAA